CCUACGGGUGGCAGCAGUGAGGAAUAUUGGUCAAUGGACGAAAGCCUGAACCAGCCAAGUAGCGUGAAGGAUGACUGCCCUAUGGGUUGUAAACUUCUUUUAUAUGGGAAUAAAAUGUCCCACGUGUGGGAUUUUGUAUGUACCAUAUGAAUAAGGAUCGGCUAACUCCGUGCCAGCAGCCGCGGUAAUACGGAGGAUCCGAGCGUUAUCCGGAUUUAUUGGGUUUAAAGGGAGCGUAGGUGGAAUGUUAAGUCAGUUGUGAAAGUUUGGGGCUCAACCGUAACAUUGCAGUUGAAACUGGCAAUCUUGAGUACGGUAGAGGUAGGCGGAAUUCGUGGUGUAGCGGUGAAAUGCUUAGAUAUCACGAAGAACUCCGAUUGCGAAGGCAGCUCACUGGAGUGCGACUGACGCUGAGGCUCGAAAGUGUGGGUAUCAAACAGGAUUAGAUACCCCGGUAGUC
rnacentral:rRNA from 1 species